CCCAUCUCAGGAUCACAUCUGGAGAGUUUCCAGUAUUCUACCAGUCUCGGCUACAGGAGGGAGAGUCAAGCAAAGGCCUACCCAUUCCAUUCCUAGCUUGGGCAGUGGCUAGUGAGUGGAAGGCAAUCAGCUAGAAGU
rfam:Ornithorhynchus anatinus chromosome 4, whole genome shotgun sequence.